CUUUUAGAAAUAAUUAUUGAAAUAUUUUUGAAUAUAUGUUAUUGAAAAAGAAUAUAAGCAAUUUUAUAAACUACGUCACGCUAAGUUUAAGUUUCAAAAACUUCGCGGUAAACAUUGCUAAAAUUGCAAACUCUCCGUGACGUAGGGCAAUUCGGGGCAAUAUGCGACAACGGGAAAGAUGAGACAACUUUCUUUUAUCCUUUCUGGAGAUAGUAAUCAUCAUAGUCCUUCAUUAAUACUAAGCAUAUAGUUUGUGGUUGUACUUGCUAAGCUUAACACACCUGUUUUUUGGAAUGUUUAGUUUGUUUGAUGACAAAAUAACUGGUAUUUUUAAAACUUAGGAAAGCCAUUAUUUUUUUCAACGCGUUACUUAGUGAAGACAUAUUCAAUGCAAUUCAUAUUCUUGAUAAAUAUUUAGAAGUACUAGUGUCGUGCUGCUAAUUUUUUAAAAAAAGAUUUCUUUAUUAUUCAUACCCCAAAAAGAAAAGAAAAUCUAAUUUGAUUUGUAAGGAGAAAUGUUUGCGCAAGUAAAUAAAUUGCUGCUAUCUAGAACAUUUGGAAUACAGUCCAUAUGGUACCAUCGACUUGGUAAUAGUUCACUCAGAGGAUUUAUAUAAUACAAGCAUUUUUCCUUUGGUUUGAUUAUCUGGAACAAAAGUGACACUGUUUAAUACCAUAUGUUUCCUUCGAAUCAGAGCAGUUUUUUUGGUAACUUUUCCAACGACAGCAAUCCGGCUGGUGCUAGUACUUCAAUUGCAUUCUUACAUGUAAAAAAAAAACUUUAUUUACGAAGUAUUGUUACUUACCUUGCAAUGUUUAUUUUAUAAAAACAAAGUAUUGUUAACCGGUUAACAAUUGAGGAUUUUAUUUUGUAGAUUUGUUACACAAUAAAAUAAUUUUAAUACAUAA